rnacentral:rRNA from 1 species
AGUGAACGCUGGCGGUAUGCCUAACACAUGCAAGUCGAACGGCAGCACAGUAAGAGCUUGCUCUUACGGGUGGCGAGUGGCGGGCGGGUGAGGAAUACAUCGGAAUCUACUUUUUCGUGGGGGAUAACGUAGGGAAACUUACGCUAAUACCGCAUACGACCUACGGGUGAAAGCAGGGGAUCUUCUGACCUUGCGCGAUUGAAUGAGCCGAUGUCGGAUUAGCUAGUUGGCGGGGUAAAGGCCCACCAAGGCGACGAUCCGUAGCUGGUCUGAGAGGAUGAUCAGCCACACUGGAACUGAGACACGGUCCAGACUCCUACGGGAGGCAGCAGUGGGGAAUAUUGGACAAUGGGCGCAAGCCUGAUCCAGCCAUACCGCGUGGGUGAAAAAGGCCUUCGGGUUGUAAAGCCCUGUUGUUGGGAAAGAAAAGCAGCAGGUUAAUACCCCGCUGUUCUGACGGUACCCAAAGAAUAAGCACCGGCUAACUUCGUG